rnacentral:rRNA from 1 species
UACGUAGGGUGCGAGCGUUGUCCGGAAUUAUUGGGCGUAAAGAGCUCGUAGGCGGUCUGUCGCGUCGGUCGUGAAAACUUGGGGCUUAACCCUGAGCUUGCGGUCGAUACGGGCAUGACUGGAGUUCGGCAGGGGAGACUGGAAUUCCUGGUGUAGCGGUGAAAUGCGCAGAUAUCAGGAGGAACACCGGUGGCGAAGGCGGAUCUC